GGAGCGGUAUCGAAGUGGUCAUAACGGGACUGACUCGAAAUCAGUUGAGCCUCACGGCUCCGUGGGUUCGAAUCCCACCCGCUCCG
rnacentral:tRNA from 1 species